AUUAACGCUAGCGGCAGGCAUAAUACAUGCAAGUUGAACGGCAGCACAGGUAGCAAUACUGGGUGGCGAGUGGCGCACGGGUGCGUAACACGUAUGCAACCUACCCUAUACAGGCGAAUAACCUUUAGAAAUGAGGGCUAAUACGCCGUAGUAUUACAGAUGGGCAUCUAUUUGUAAUUAAAGAUUUAUCGGUAUAGGAUGGGCAUGCGUCCCAUUAGUUAGUUGGUAAGGUAACGGCUUACCAAGACGAUGAUGGG
rnacentral:rRNA from 1 species